CGUCCCCCGGCAGCGCAGCGGCCCCUGCACGUGGAGCCGCCCUGCGGCCGGGCGGCCCCGCCGGAGAGCGGCGGAGAAGCGCGGGCCGCCCUCUGCGGAUCCCAAACAGCUGCGGGAUUGAGCACCGGGGCCGUGCGCACAAGGGGCGGCUGCCUAGGCGGCAGCGGGCGGGACCCCGGACGCGAGUCUCCGCGCUGGACGGGGACGACUCUCGGGUUCAGACGCGCUGACACCUGCCACCGGAAUGGUUGGCUGGGAAUCCCCGGCUCACGUGAACUCAAAGUGGGAUCCGGAGCGGGGAAACGACAGGGACUCUGCAGACCCCGGUGACUCUCCGGUCUGUUCAGAGCAAGGACUAUCCCUCCCCGGCCCCCCCCCCCCCCCGCAGCCACCACUGUAGAAAAGUUGCCGUUUACAUGCAACUUUGUGCUCUCAACAGUAGAAUAACUGUGAGAGGACUGUGCCGAGUUCUUACAAUGCAACACCGUACGGCAAUACAAGUCAACAAACCCUCGAUAUACUACUGAGUGAAAGAAAACACACAAAUAGUGAAUCUGGACACUUGUACUUAUAUACAUUUUUAAUGCGAAAGUUUCCUGUGUUAUUAGAUAAGAGGAGAGUGGUUAUCUUGGUGGGAAGUGUCGGGGGUCCUGUGGGAACUUCUGGCUGCUGGUUGUGACAUACUUUACUCUGGGUCACACUGCUGUUUGGACAUUGUGAAAAGUCACAGAGCCAAACGCUUUUUCACACCUGUCUUACUUUCGUAAAAACAACAACAAAAUCAUUCUUUGCCUUGAUUGAGAUAUUUAUCUAGCAAAAUAAAUAAAAUACAGCCUUUAAUGGGAAGAUCGCUCUCUGCUAAGGAUGUUUUCUAAGCACUUUGAAGCAUAUUACACCAUUGUAUCCUCAUUUUAAAGGAUAAGAAACUGAUGCAGAAAUCUUACGUAAUCACUCAAAUCACAGUAAGUAGGAGAGUUGAUGUUUGAACCCGCCAGUGAGCCAGGGGAGUCCGGCUGCGCAGUCUGGGUGUGUAAUUCUCAAUCGCUAGUAAACAGAAAAAGCGUUUUCAACGCCAUUCUCUCCCAAAAUAAUCACCAGAGUGAAAGUGGUGACGGACUUGGGGAAGGAUCCAUCCAGGCUUGGAGACCUGCAUGGACUGAAGAUUUGCUGGAAGCUGUGUGGCAAUGACACUGAAGGUGACUUGGAAUGUAUGAUGGGAAAGAAGACAAAACCGAGAACAGAUGAACACAGGAAAGAAAGAAAUGAUGAAGACAGAAACCACGUUCAACACGGAAAUGCAGGUGUUGGGCAAGUGGUCAGAUUUGAGCCUGUAAAAUGCUCACCACGCUGCGGGCGAGAGCAGAGUGGCGCAGCGGAAGCGUGCUGGGCCCAUAACCCAGAGGUCGAUGGAUCGAAACCAUCCUCUGCUAGGCUUUUCUUCUCACGUUUGGCCUCUGCUUCCUUCACCACGAAGAGGGCCCACAACCCUCCUGUCCUCUUUCUCGGACAGGGUGACCUCGUUUUCAUCUCUCCAACUACGUUCCCCAAACAAUGGAAGAUGCCCUCAGUUUCCUUUACUUUCCGCCUCCACUGCCUGCUCCCUCACUGCUUGCUGGACUCUCGGAAGUGCUUGGAAAUACGUGAUGAAGCAGAGAAGCAUGACCACGAAUGCCCAUGACCGCGACCUUGGCCGUUCACAUUUCUCUACUGCAGUGCAUCCAGUCCUUGAAGGGGAUGGAGUCCCCGUCCACUGUAGAGGAGGGGGUCAGAGAAGAACCUGGAAUCAAGGGACCAUGAUUUGGCCAAGGACUUACCUCACCUUGACAGUGAUGUGUUUCUGGUAAGUGCAGGCUGACCUGGCUGUAGAUUAUUGACGUGGGCCUGGACAUUUGGUGUCCUCCAUUCUGUGGGCCUCGGUAUACGAAUACACAUGAUCAAAAGAAUUACUUUGAAAAUGUUUUGUGUAGCCAAACACAGUUAGAUGGAUUUUUAAAUUACAUAUUAUAAAGAAAUAAAGACUGAACAGCAUUGAUCCAGUGAUACAUUGGAAAAACAAUAGAAAAUCAACAAAUAUUACACAAAGAAAUCUCAGGGAAGGAAAUGAAGAAAAUGGCUCACAUAAUGCUUUAGAAUAGAAACAUAAAAUGGAGAUUAUUUACAAAGCUGACAUUUUAUCUGAAAAAAGAUAAAAUUGCUAAGCCCUUGGGUAAAUUUAUCAAAUAAUAAAGAAAGAAGGUACACAGCUGCUCUCAGAAAUGGAGAAUGCUUUUUCAUUUAAAAAUGGGGGUGGAAAGAGACUGAAUGGCAAGCUGCCAAGGCAGAGAUAGAUUGACUCCUCCUAGGGAUUCCCAGGGAGAUACUCAGUGGUUAGCGUUCUCUAAAUACAUUAACUCACACUUGUUAAUCAUAUAGUGGGAUGUGGCAUCUGAACUCGGUGCCCAGAAUGAGUCAAAACCUUAUUCCAUUUUUAGUCCCUCUCUCUCCACCACUGUCCUGGACCCCAGGACGAGCCAGCCUGGCAUGUCUUCGUCGACUCUUUUUGAUUGAAUUACGAAGAACAUGUCUUUCCCUAAUUUCUUGAAAUGUGUAGUGGUUUGCUUAUCAAUACCCAUUUUGGAUUUACUACUUGGUGACCAUUUCGCUCUGAGUCUUGGCUUUUCCGUUAGAUGAUCCAAGAUUUCCUGGAAUUUUCUACAUGUUUGUAGAAGGGUCCGACUACUUGGAAAGCAAACAGUGUUUUCUGUAGGAAAGGCCGCCUUCAGUGCGGGCUUUUGACGGCAGGAAACCGAGGGCAUCACCAAAGCCCAGGCUCUCUUGGGAGUGGAGAGGAGGGGAAAAAAAACUACUAUUAGGACUGUGUUCUAAUUCCUUUUUUUUUUAAAGUAAUAAAUGAUGGAGAAGUACUAUUAUGGGAGGGACAUAUGGAGUUUUUCACUGGGACCAAGAACUAUCGCCUUGGGAGAUUUUCCUUCCUGGGAAACACAGCCAGUUCCCACACGAGUACGUGUUGACUGUAGGACGCAGAAUUGGAACCUGUGCAAAGGUUCCAGUUUACAAAGGAACCUUUACAAAAGGUUCCAAAGAUCCCAACAGACUUCUAGGUCACCGACUUAAGCACUCGGCCAUGACCAAACGGUGAAUCUGGCUCAGCAGCACAAGGAGUCUUCGCCGGACUUCUCUUCAAAGGAGGGCAAAUGUUCUAUCACAAGGUGUAUUUGCCGUCAGUGUUUCUCACUCUGACCUCCCGACGCGCUUUUCUUCCUUAUAAAAUACAUCCCGUUAAACCAGGGUGGAAUUUUAUUCUGCACGGAUGUAGGAAUGUCGGGACUUCAGGAACUCAGAUGUCAGGAGACACCAGGUCAUUUAACCUGGAGAAUAAUUCUCCCAGAGGCGGAAAAAGGAAAAUAGAUGGACAGGUUCCACCGAGAUUUGAACUCGGAUCGCUGGAUUCAGAGUCCAGAGUGCUGACCAUUACACCAUGGAACCCCACGUGAGAGCAUCCUCCCAUACUUCUACAUGGUGAGUUAGAGGAAUUCUACUGAACGUAGUCAGUUAACAUUUUUAAUCUACAUCCACUCACGACACUCUUUUGAGACAAAUCCUAAGGGAUUUUAUCUUAUUUUUUAAUUUACUUUUUUUGCCGAGUACCCUAACCUAUGAAGUCUACCUCCCCCCUACAAUUAACUCGGAAAGUUAGUAGUCCCAGUCCUUGCUUUCUUCAUUCAGAAACAAUGAGCAAGAAUUUCUUAGACAUAACAUCCCUGGAUUGAACGUCUUUUAUUGAUGAUAUGAUUUAGUCUUUAAAAACCUGGUGAAGUUGGUAUUCUUAGUUCCUAUAUAGACAGAUAGGUAAACUAAAUUUAGAGAUUUCAUGUCUCUUAUCUGCAAGUCUGCUAAAUCUCGGCCAUGAGAUAUUUUUCUCCACCUAGAUUACGUAGUUAUCAGGUCUAAUUCCUGUAAGACAGCGAGCUUUAAUGUAUCGAUUUCUGGCAAAUUCGCAGAAGAAAACUUGCAAUAGAAAUGUGUUUGAGACAAAAUUGGAAAGUUGUGCUUGAAGAAAAAGUCUGAAUUUUGUCACAUGUAGCGAUGGUUAAGGAGAGGAUGAGAGACGCCGCAUUUCAAGGUCAUCUGCUCGCCUCCAUCGUGAGGCAGGUGCCCAGCGAAGGCUCCCAACUGCACUCAAGGUGUGCUUACUGCUGUUGCGCAGACCUUUUCCUGGACUCAGCUGCAGAUCAGGUUUCCAGGUCCUGACCGCGGUUUCUCCCGAGUCCACCCUCCACACCCUGCUGAGUCCCGCCCCAUUCGGCGUUGCCUUGGCUGCCCCGCGCAGCCAGGACGCUCCGCAGCUUUAGCCAGAUGCUCCCCGGAGUCCGUGCUGGUGAGACUUCCAGCGGGUGCGCAGGCAUCUCCCAGGACUGCAGAACGACUUCCUACACAGCGGAAGAGAACCUGCAAACUGAGCGAGGCGACAGAGGCCUUCCUCGCUGAACAAACAGCUGCUGGCGACCAGAGAACGCCCCGCUCGGCCGCCGCUGAGCUCGGGGGCGCUCGUGGAAGGAGGAAACCAAAAAAACCCAACUCGCCUGCUAACCCGGAUGAGCAAACGUGCAAAGGACCCACCUCUCCUUCCAAUGGUCUCGGCGAUUCAAAACGAACAAAUAAAUACAAGGAACUUGCAAAACAUCUAUUCCAUGCAAAACCAUUAUAGUGCGCACCUUCUAAGGCCUGGGACCUUGUACCAGACUGGACUAUGUUCGCCCAAUACAAUUCCAGCGCCUGAGGAAACUGUGAUCCUGUAACUCAUGGGAGUAGAGCCAAAACAUUCCCAAAGGAAGUCUUUUUACAGGACUAAGUAGCACUUGCAAAAUAUAGAGAUAAAACCUCUUAAACAAGUUAUUCUCUCUGGUGGGUUAUAGCUGGUGUCCUGGGUAGUCUAAUAACAGGGUUUUUAACAGUAUUUUUAAUUUCCAAGAGAUCUUGAUCUCUUCAUCAUCAUAAAAAUAUUUUUUCUGAGUUCCUAUUACCAAUUUUACACUAUGAUACAUUUUAAAAUAAAGUAAA